rnacentral:lncRNA from 1 species
GUGAGGGGUCGGAACUUGAGCCUGGCAACAAUGGGAACCUUACAAGUAGGCUGAUCCUCUGCCCUGCCAACCUGGCAGCUUUCUCUGAAGCUGGGUGCUCCUGUGUGGUUUUGCUCCGAGGACAAUCAGGACUGUUGUUCCUACACAGACCUGCAAGUCAGAGUCGCCCAAGACUCUUCCCUCUGAGGGCCAGCCUACAGGAGGGGUUCUCUCCUUGGGGUCAUCCCCUCCUACAGCGAUUUUUGACACUUGAUCAGCCCACUCCGUUGUGCCUCUGUGGACAGCUCGGACACUCGAGAGUUGGGCUCCACUGUGUAUUGCUGUUUCCCUAGAUCUUGCCCAGCCUCCUCUUCUCAGUGAGCACCAUUUGAAAACAUAAAUUUGGGUCAAAUUUGAAAAUUCUAGCUACCCUCUCUGGGCUGCCUUAAAGUCCAUUAUGGGCUGGUGAAAUGGCUCAACCUUUAAGUGCUUUAAGUGCAGAAGAGUCAGAGGUCAAUUCCCAGAGCCUCUGUUAAAAAGCCACACAAGGGGAUGUGUCCUUGUGACCCCAGUGCUAGAGAGGCAGAGGCACAGGGCCCUGGACUCACUGACCAGUCAGGGUAGCCCGCAGGCUGAACGCUAAGGGAGCCUGUCUCCAAAAUAACACCACAAGCAAACAAGCAUGACAAGACAACUUAGGGUCAGAGACAUGGCUCAGCUGCUGAGAGCACGCCCUGCUGUUGCAGAGGAACUAGACUGUGUGCCUAGACCCACAUGGCAGCUCAAAACUGCCUGCCACUCCUGUCCUAGGGA